rnacentral:rRNA from 1 species
AACGCCCUCGCAAGGGGGAGUGGCAGACGGGUGAGUAACACGUGGGAACAUACCCUUUGGUUCGGAAAAACUUCGGGAAACUGAGGCUAAUACCGGAUACGGCCUGAUGGGCGAAAGAUUGAUCGCCGAAGGAUUGGCCCGCGUUCGAUUAGCUAGUUGGUACGGUAAUGGCGUACCAAGGCGACGAUCGAUAGCUGGUCUGAGAGGAUGGCCAGCCACAUUGGGACUGAGACACGGCCCAA